rnacentral:lncRNA from 1 species
UUUAAUUUUUUUCCUUUUACCAGUCACCUUUUCUAGAACUUCAAAUAUAUAAGCAAAUAAAUCUUGGAAUCCCUAAUUUAGCAAAUAAAUCAUGGCAUUAGUGCUUCAGCUCAUGGGUCGGUCUACAAUUUCUUUUUUUAGUUUUUCGUCACAUAAGUAGCUAUAUUCAGUACAGAUUUUUUAUUUUUUGUCACAUAUUAUAUAAAUUUUUUUUGGUUUAACUAUGCUAAUGUCCCCUGAAAAAUAAUCAAUGUCUCAUAUUGUCCUCUAAAAAUCACUAUAACCCAUAUUCUCUAAUAAUAAUUCAUUUUUACGUUUCAUUCCCCUCUUUUCCCCAUUUGUCGGUUCAAUUGUCAAGUCAGUCAACAAAUCUAUUCCACUUUUCUUAUAACAUGUUUACCAAACAAAUGUUAUGUAUCAUAAGUAGGUUAGAAUAAUUGGCCGAAG